rnacentral:rRNA from 1 species
CAGCCGGGCGACGGUUGUCCCGGUUUAAGCAUGUAGGCGGAGGUUCCAGGUAAAUCCGGUACCUUUUAACGCUGAGGUGUGAUGACGAGGCACUACGGUGCUGAAGUGAUAAAUGCCCUGCUUCCAGGAAAAGCCUCUAAGCAUCAGGUAACACGAAAUCGUACCCCAAACCGACACAGGUGGUCAGGUAGAGAAUACCAAGGCGCUUGAGAGAACUCGGGUGAAGGAACUAGGCAAAAUGGUGCCGUAACUUCGGGAGAAGGCACGCUGAUAUGUAGGUGAAGCCCCUGCGGGCGGAGCUGAAAUCAGUCGAAGAUACCAGCUGGCUGCAACUGUUUAUUAAAAACACAGCACUGUGCAAACACGAAAGUGGACGUAUACGGUGUGACGCCUGCCCGGUGCCGGAAGGUUAAUUGAUGGGGUUAGCGGCAACGC